UUCUAGGCAGGAUCAGUUCUUCCCUAUGUAUUAUUUCUAUCUCUGCAUAUUAUCCUUUAUCUCCUCAAACGACUAAGUAAUAUUGCAUAUUUUCUUAAAAACAUGUCACCACAUAAUCAGAUCUUGUGAUCUUCUGGUACUUUGACUUCCUCCCUGACCCUGAUCUAAAAGAAUCAUAAUGGCAUCACAUUGUGGAAGUUUGCUUGCUUAUAAUGGAUGUUCUUAGAAUAACUAAGUAAAACACCAUGGCCAUAAUCUGCUACUCUGCUUUGUUAUUCGGUUCACUUGGCUUGUUGUCUUUUGCUGAGUUGGUUUCCAUUUCGUGAAUUCACUAUAUAUGUAGAUGUAGGUAGCCUCAGCAUGUGUUGGCUUCCUUUUGUACCGUGCUUUAUAAUCUAAUAGAAGUUAAAGGGGAGAAACUUUUUAGUCUUAUCCAUAUCAAAGCUUUUCUCCAAGUUGGAUGCUGUGGAGUGUUGGAGUAAAAGCAAGCAGGAAUGAUGGCGUCUUGUCGGUCCAUGCAUGCACUACGUUAUUAAUCAAUUAGAAGAAAAAUCUUAUCUUAAUUUUACACAGGAGCAGUUUCAACAAGUAGCUGACUACAAAAGUCCCUAGUGCAGACCACUUAUCUACGCCUUUUAUUUACCUUAUCAUACUUGUUGAAUUUCUUAUUUCUUGCGUGUACAACCAGCAACUUCUUUCUAGUCUUAUUUGUUAGUGUGAUUUAACUUUUUAAUUAAAUCCUAAUGCUAAUCAGCUUUAUAGGAAUCAAAAAAUGAAAUGAUAGAUCACUCACUCUUGCACUAAGUCAGUUCCAUUCUGGUCGCUCAUACUGAUGCAUCUACAGCAGUCCAAAAGGCUGCCUGACCAUUAUUGGCCAGCAAAAAGCUAACAGUAGUACAUUUCUGAGAUUUGCUUGUCGCUAUUUUUUUUACCUGUUUCAGAGCUUACCCGUAAGACAAGGUACGGGUGUGUACCAUGAUCUCUAUUGGAAGAACUGAACUGAAGAACAAACAGACUGGUAUUCCUGAUCUUUAGUGCAGGUAACAUGUGAUCUCUAUUGCCGAGUUUUAGGACUUGGAAAGUCUAAGUAGUAGGGGCUAAAUGAGAAUGUAAUAGACUUAGCCAUGAAGGUCUAAGAAAUGAUUCUGAUCUUUAUUUAGAAACAAGCUCAAGUUUUGAGAAAUAAUAAAAUGCGGUAUACCUUUGUAAGCCUCUAAGUGAGCCUCAAAUUAUUUAGUCUGCCUUUAUCCAAGCCUGAGAAAUUAUGAGUCUAAAUGUAACAUUCAACUUCUUAUCAUAUUGUAUUGAAUAGUAACCAUGAACAUCAGGAGAUAUCCACAGAUAUGAAUAAUAUAUCAUGCAUAUAGAGCAUCCUUAUAUUGCACACUAUUGCACAAACUGGUACAAACUAUUCUCACACUACAUAGAUACAUACAUCAUGAUAAUACUUUCAAUGUUACCGUAGAUUUAAAAAUACUGAAAUCCGUACUAAUGCAAACAUAGCUAGUAAUUAAGUGCAGGUACUGCAAAUCUGCUAGGCAGAUUUGCUGAGUGACCUGGCCUAUAUAUAGAUGUAUUCCUUCCUCCUUCAAUAGCGAGGGCCUUAUUUACCAUAACCAAAUGAUGGAGCCAACAUCCUGAUUUCUUCAUCUUCCAUCUUCCAGAAUAUCUCAGGGCAUUUGUAAUCCCACAUAGCAGGUGAUGGCAGAGGGCAGGGGAUACUACUGCAUGUCUUCUCUUUCCCUUCAGCAAUGCCCAGCAAGGCAGGUGCCUGCGGUGCCUCGAUUUCUCUCCAUAUCUGAUCCAUGGGAUAU
rnacentral:lncRNA from 1 species